AGUAAAAGCAGCCAGACCUAGCCCGCGCCCCGCAGCCGCCUCCUCUCUCUCUUGCCGCCGCCGCCUCCACCUCCCCUCCUGCCGCCGCCGCCGCCUCAGCCUCGGCCGGGCCGUGCUCUGCCGGCGCCCGUCGGCCUUGAUCCGGCCUCGCAGGAGGAGCUCGCCCUCAAGAAGGACUCGACAGGAGGAGGGGAGCAGUGCCUCUUCUCCUCCCCUUCUCUUUUCUCCUCCCCACGUUCUAGAUUGGGCACAAGUCACCACCAUACAAGAGCAUGGGUUGCAUGAUCUUCAUGGUGGGCGUGGUGGAGCAAGGAGGGAGGAGGAUAGCGAUGGGGGAAGGAGAAGCAAGGUUGGAGCUCCAGGCUCUACGUUGGCGUGCCGCUGGAGUGGAUGAGUGGUCGUCCGUUGCGCGCCGGCCGUCGUCCCCGUCCCCAAUCUGGGCUGCCUAGGUUUUACUGUUGUUCUCUGCAAAAUCAGCGUGAGUGCUUGAUGUUACCUCCAUCAGCUGAUGAGGCGAGGCUGCUGCUGCUGAAAAAUGGUGCUGCUACCGGAGGCAGUGGAGAGGCAUUCCGUGGACCAACUAUGGUGUGGUUCAGAUAGUCCAAGGAGUGGAAACUAUAACCUUGUCAAAUUCUACACAUAGCCAUUAUGACGACACAUUUAUGCGAUAGAUUGUCAAUAUUUAAGUUGAUACACUAAAGACGGAGAUGUGGAAAGCUUGCCACGGAGGCACACAGGCUUGCUGAUUCUGUUUUGGAUUUGUCCUUGAGAGGAGGCCGAAGCAAACUUCAACAGGCAUCAGUAAAAUCCAUGCUUCUAGCGUAUGUAGACGCCUCUGGCGUCGAACUGAAGAGACGAGGAAGAAAGGGGAUACACAAGCUCGUUGGAUCCACUCGCUGCCGCUUCAUAUUCAGCUCUUCACGGGUCACGACUGUCGCUAUUCGUGGGCCGGGCUAAAUAACAUAUGGGCCAUCGAAAUACACAGAACAGAAAGGUGUUUCUUUCUUUUUUUCCUUUUGUUACUCACAAGAAAAGGUGUUUCUUUUCCUUUACGUAAAAAAACAAACAUUUGCAAGGCACGGUUCUGUUUUUCCAUUUACUAUUACAUUUACUUCAAUUCCUCUUACAGAAACCAGUAUUCAUUUAUUCAAAGAGCAUCGUUAUUUCAUAUUUGUGAGAUAACUAAAAAGGUUAUUUAUCUUUCUGCGAGACAUUGGCCAUCCUACAUGACUUAGUGCAUCAUUUCCAACCUAAUGUACUUACUACAUAUAAUAUAUGAGCUAUUCUUUUCGAACAACAAUAUGUUAACGCACACUCUUACACCGAUUGGCUCACACUCUUACAACAAUAUUCGAUUUCAUGCUUCGUUUGCUUUCUCCUCACUGCACUACCCCUCUUCAAUCUCAGAUCAAAAAUCUCACAAUGGAAGACAUGGACAUUGGCAUCGUCUGUGAGACGGUUCCCCAGGAUCAGCAGCAUCAAGGACAGCAACGCCUGCGCCCAAUGAGAAUGACUAUCUGAUAGUAAUUCCUUAUGCCCACAUAUUCGCCCUGGUGCUGAAAGCUCUGAAGUUACCCCCUGCAACUUAUUAUCACAAGAUAUGCCCAGGCGGAAAGAAUCGUGUGACGGUUACUUUCAUUUCUUCUUUGGAAUUGCUCGAUGGUGCACUUGUUCCAAGUUCUCUGUCAGGUGCAAUCUUAGAUAGCUAUGAAGAUGCUGAAGACAGUGCUGCUAUUGAAGCUAUUAGAUACAUGGAAAAUGCAUAUGGCAAAGAAAUGAGGGACUACCACUACACUCAUGUCAAGAAGCUUGAAAAUCAAGUGACGCACCUGGUCAAAUGGUUGGUUGCAUCAAAUAAAACAAUCAAGAAGCUGUGCAAAACAUGCUACUACGCUGUCAGGUAUAUGAGCUCAUAUUCUGCCCAAAUAGAAAACACAACGACUGCUCGGCAUUUGAAAGGGCGGGAUAGCAAAGGGAGUUAUGAAAACAGCGCUGGCAAGCAUUGAAGGACUGACGCAGAGGCUACGCUACAUUGCUAUGAAGUUUGAGCAGCGCCUCGAAGCAACCAGAAAUAGUUUCUGGUGAGAUUUGGUCAAUGUGUCCUGACGUAUCAAUCAGACAAGGAUCUUUCGCAUUUUGGCGUACUCCAAGCAAGAUAUGUGUACGCUUUAGUCUUAACUUGCUGCCUCUAUGCUGAAAAGUAGUGUAUGAUAUAGUCUACGAUCUUUAAACUUUGUUGUUAUCUCUGUACUCAGAAGCGGGUUAUCAUCGCUUACUGUAUAUAUGUGAAGGCCUCUUCUUCUGCUAUUCUUUCCAGGCCACUGCUUCUGUGGUGAAAAGUAUUGUAUAAUGUAGUCUAUGAUCUUUAGAUUAUAUUGUUCUCUUUGUAGUCAAAAGCAGUUUUUCA